rnacentral:rRNA from 1 species
UACGGAGGGUGCGAGCGUUGUCCGGAAUUACUGGGCGUAAAGGGUGCGUAGGCGGUAUGUUAAGUCAGGUGUGAAAUACCAUGGCUCAACUGUGGUGUUGCGCAUGAAACUGGCAUACUAGAGUGCAGGAGAGGGAAGUGGAAUUCCUAGUGUAGCGGUGAAAUGCGUAGAGAUUAGGAGGAACACCAGUGGCGAAGGCGGCUUCCUGGCCUGUAACUGACGCUGAGGCACGAAAGCGUGGGGAGCAAACAGG